UACAGAGGUCCCAAGCGUUGUUCGGAUUUACUGGGCGUAAAGGGCGCGUAGGCGGCCUUCUAAGUCGAACGUGAAAUCCCCGGGCUCAACCCGGGAACUGCGUCCGAUACUGGGAGGCUUGAAUCCGGGAGAGGGAUGCGGAAUUCCAGGUGUAGCGGUGAAAUGCGUAGAUAUCGGGAGGAACACCUGUGGCGAAGGCGGCCCCCUGGUUGGAUACUGACGCUGAUACGCGAAAGCGUGGGGAGCAAACAGG
rnacentral:rRNA from 1 species